rnacentral:rRNA from 1 species
CCUACGGGAGGCUGCAGUCGAGAAUCAUUCACAAUGGGGGAAACCCUGAUGGUGCGACGCCGCGUGGGGAAAUGAAGCUCUUCGGAUUGUAAACCCCUUUCAUGUGGGAGCAAAUUAAAAAGAUAGUACCACAAGAGGAAGAGACGGCUAACGCUGUGCCAGCAGCCGCGGUAAUACAGAGGUCUCAAGCGUUGUUCGGAAUCACUUGGCGUAAAGCGUGCGUAGGCUGUUUGGUAAGUCGGGUGUGAAAGGCGGGGGCUCAACCCGCGGACGGCACAUGAGACUGCGAGACUAGAGUAAUGGAGAGGGAAGCGGAAUUCUCGGUGUAGCGGUGAAAUGCGUAGAUAUCGAGAGGAACACUGGUGGCGAAGGCGGGUUCCUGGACAUUAACUGACGCUGAGGCACGAAGGCGAGGGGAGCGAAAGGGAUUAGAUACCCCUGUAGUC